rnacentral:rRNA from 1 species
CCUACGGGUGGCACCAGUGGGGAAUAUUGCACAAUGGGCGCAAGCCUGAUGCAGCCAUGCCGCGUGUAUGAAGAAGGCCUUCGGGUUGUAAAGUACUCUCAGCGGGGAGGAAGGCGAUAAGGUUAAUAACCUUGUCGUUUGACGUUACCCGCAGAAGAAGCACCGGCUAACUCCGUGCCAGCAGCCGCGGUAAUACGGAGGGUGCAAGCGUUAAUCGGAAUUACUGGGCGUAAAGCGCACGCAGGCGGUCUGUCAAGUCGGAUGUGAAAUCCCCGGGGUCAACCUGGGAACUGCAUUCGAGACUGGCAGGCUAGAGUCUUGUAGAGGGGGGUGGAAUUCCAGGUGUAGCGGUGAAAUGCGUAGAGAUCUGGAGGAAUACCGGUGGCGAAGGCGGCCCCCUGGACAAAGACUGACGCUCAGGUGCGAAAGCGUGGGGAGCAAACAGGAUUAGAUACCCGAGUAGUC